rnacentral:lncRNA from 1 species
AUAAGUACUAGUAGUAUUGGUAGUCUACUUCACUAAGAAAAGAGCAAGCACUAAGGAAGUAGGAUACUUGCUAGCAUGAAGGACUCCCCCGACAGUAGACUACUACCUACUGAAAGGCAGACUAUAUAGAUAGUAGUGGUGUUGUCCAUGAGUUAUUGGAAAGUAGAGUGGCAGUUAGUGGGCUCGUUCUUCCGCUAUUAUAUAUCAUAGUAGGUAGUGCAAGGUGCUGGGUCAGGGUCUGCUGUUCUCAAUGCGAUGGGUCAGUCGUUCAAUUGGCGCAUAGCUGGUUGUUGGGGAGACAAGGGAGGAUGGGACGACGAUGCCGGAGCCUGGUGUGGAUGUGCUGCCAUAGCGAGGAGGUCAAGGUGUAGUUUAUUCUAGUAGUAACUUGAUGUUCAUGAUGGUAGUUAGUGAUGAAUGAUGUGUUGAUUCAAGCUCGCAAUAGAGAAAGAGUAGGAGCGGCAGGCACGUAGUAGAGGCAUAUAAAUAAAUACUUGAUGAUCCGCGU